GUUGAUCCCCCAUAACCCCAAGGUCAGGGGUUUAACCCCCAGCGCAUGCACUUCUUUGUUUUUAUUUUUUUCACUCUUAUUUUAUUUAUUUUUCUCUAUAUUUAUUUCCAAUUUUAUUUAAAUUUUUACCCCACUUAUUUUUAUUAUUCUGAAAACAUUUCCAUCAUGGACCCUUGUUAUUUUUGCCUCUACUAUUUAUUUAUGCUUUGUUUCAUGUCAUUUUGAUAUUUUUUGGUUUACUUUU
rnacentral:lncRNA from 1 species